UACGUAGGGACCAAGCGUUGUUCGGAUUUACUGGGCGUAAAGGGCGCGUAGGCGGCUUAACAAGUCACUUGUGAAAUCUCCGGGCUUAACUCGGAACGGCCAAGUGAAACUGUCAAGCUAGAGUGCAGAAGGGGCAAUCGGAAUUCUUGGUGUAGCGGUGAAAUGCGUAGAUAUCAAGAGGAACACCUGAGGUGAAGACGGGUUGCUGGGCUGACACUGACGCUGACAGCGCGAAAGCUAGGGGAGCGAACGGG
rnacentral:rRNA from 1 species